rnacentral:rRNA from 1 species
AGCAGCCGCGGUAAUUCCAGCUCCAAUAGCGUACAUUAAAGUUGUUGCAGUUAAAAAGCUCGUAGUUGAAUUUCGGGAUCAGUACGCUGGUCGUGCCUUGUGUAUGUACUGGUGUUACUGGUUCCUACCUUCUGACGAACCGUCAUGUCAUUAAUUUGGUGUGGCGGGGAAUCAGGACUGUUACUUUGAAAAAUUAGAGUGUUUAAAGCAGGCUCGCGCUUGAAUACAUUAGCAUGGAAUAAUGAAAUAGGACGUUUGAUCCUAUUUUGUUGGUUUCUAGGAUUGACGUAAUGAUUAAUAGGGAUAGUUGGGGCAUUAGUAUUCAAUUGUCAGAGGUGAAAUUCUUGGAUUUAUUGAAGACUAACUACUGCGAAAGCAUUUGCCAAGGAUGUUUUCAUUA